rnacentral:lncRNA from 1 species
GGCCGCCAGUUGAGGGCUAGCUGGCCAUCAGUUGAGCAAAUAGUUGAGGGCCAGUUGAGGGCUAGCUGGAUUUUUGCCAUGCAAAUUAGGUAGCCCUCAACUAUCAAUGCUCAACUUUAUGCAAAUUAGUUGAGCAACGUUGAGAAAAUAUCAUAGUUGAGGGCUAGGUGUCCAACAGUUGAGCAAUUAGAGUUGAGGGCUACCUGGCCAACAGUUGAGGACCAGGUCAUUAAAAGUUGAGGGCUAGGUGGCCAAUAGAUGAGGGCCAGGUCAUUAAAAGUUGAGGGCUAGGUCUUUAAAAGUUGAGCAUUAUGUG